CAAUAGUCCAGUUCCUUAAAAUCAAUACCCAUCCUCACUGCCCAAUAGUCACACACCUCUGUGGGCCAAUGAUCCGAAACCCACAGGUCAAUAGCCCAUCCCUAUGCAUCAGUGGCCUCAUUGCCACAGACCAGUAGCCUCAUUCCUAUGGAACCAUGGUUUCAUCCCCAAAGAUCAAUAAUUUGGUCUUCUAAAAUCUGUAGCCUUCAGCACAUUAACCAAUAAGCCCAUCCUCAUGGAAAAAU
rnacentral:lncRNA from 1 species